rnacentral:misc_RNA from 1 species
AGGUUUUCAGAUGAUUCUUCAACAUCCAGUACUGUUGACAUAGGAAGAGUGUCUUGUAUACCUUCUGUCAUUAGUUUGCCUAUGUCAAUUCUGAUGCUUGGAACGUGUCCAAGGCGUCUGAAAAUGGUGGAGUAGCCUAUAACUUUGACCUGAUUUUGAAGUGAUCUCGGCAGCUUAUCUGCUCAAUCCGAAAUUGUAGAUCCAGGCGACGGUCGAAUUAUCACAAAACAAAAGUACAUUUUCCUCACCCAUCCAAAUAGACCCUAAAUGAGCAUUCUUUCCAUCAUUGAUUUACCUCUAACUCAAUUACCACCAUUAAGGAGCUAUUGCCUCUUGAUUUCUCUCUUAUUACAUGUCUACUCGAGGGUGACCACCUACUGAUGAAAAGAUGGAUUUCCCUAGUAGACUCCCGGUGAUGCUUCCCUCGUGUUCUUCAAUUUUUUUAUCAUCUCAGCUGUCCUCGCAGUCUCUCCACCUCAAAUGAUAACGCAGAUCUUGCUAAGACAAGGGGAUGGGAUCUACAUAUCACGGAGAAAAUUCACCCGAUAUCUCAUUGUAUCCAU